rnacentral:rRNA from 1 species
UACGUAGGGUGCAAGCGUUAAUCGGAAUUACUGGGCGUAAAGCGUGCGCAGGCGGUUAUGUAAGACAGUUGUGAAAUCCCCGGGCUCAACCUGGGAACUGCAUCUGUGACUGCAUAGCUAGAGUACGGUAGAGGGGGGAUGGAAAUUCCCGGUGUAGCAGUGAAAUGCGUAGAUAUCGGGAGGAACAUCUGUGGCGAAGGCGACACCCUGGACCAGCACUGACACUGAGGCACGAAAAGCGUGGGGGAGCAAAACAGGAUUA